CUACGGGCCGCAGCAGUGGGGAAUAUUGCACAAUGGGCGCAGGCCUGAUGCAGCCAUGCCGCGUGUAUGAAGAAGGCCUUCGGGUUGUAAAGUACUUUCAGCGGGGAGGAAGGGAGUAAAGUUAAUACCUUUGCUCAUUGACGUUACCCGCAGAAGAAGCACCGGCUAACUCCGUGCCAGCAGCCGCGGUAAUACGGAGGGUGCAAGCGUUAAUCGGAAUUACUGGGCGUAAAGCGCACGCAGGCGGUUUGUUAAGUCAGAUGUGAAAUCCCCGGGCUCAACCUGGGAACUGCAUCUGAUACUGGCAAGCUUGAGUCUCGUAGAGGGGGGUAGAAUUCCAGGUGUAGCGGUGAAAUGCGUAGAGAUCUGGAGGAAUACCGGUGGCGAAGGCGGCCCCCUGGACGAAGACUGACGCUCAGGUGCGAAAGCGUGGGGAGCAAACAGGAUUAGAUACCCUAGUAGUC
rnacentral:rRNA from 1 species